rnacentral:rRNA from 1 species
UGGGGAAUUUUGGACAAUGGGCGAAAGCCUGAUCCAGCAAUGCCGCGUGUGUGAAGAAGGCCUUCGGGUUGUAAAGCACUUUUGUCCGGAAAGAAAUCCUUGGCUCUAAUACAGUCGGGGGAUGACGGUACCGGAAGAAUAAGCACCGGCUAACUACGUGCCAGCAGCCGCGGUAAUACGUAGGGUGCAAGCGUUAAUCGGAAUUACUGGGCGUAAAGCGUGCGCAGGCGGUUUGCUAAGACCGAUGUGAAAUCCCCGGGCUCAACCUGGGAACUGCAUUGGUGACUGGCAGGCUAGAGUAUGGCAGAGGGGGGUAGAAUUCCACGUGUAGCAGUGAAAUGCGUAGAGAUGUGGAGGAAUACCGAUGGCGAAGGCAGCCCCCUGGGCCAAUACUGACGCUCAUGCACGAAAGCGUGGGGAGCAAACAGGAUUAGAUACCCUGGUAGUCCACGCCCUAAACGAUGUCAACUAGUUGUUGGGGAUUCAUUUCCUUAGUAACGUAGCUAA